rnacentral:lncRNA from 1 species
CGGACUCAAAAGUGCACUCAGUGUAAGCGGCAGCUUUUCUGCCUGUCAUAACUGAGAAGGAGAGUCACUUUUUCAUGCCUGGUAAACGCUGGCUUCAGGGCAGAUGAAAGCUGAAGUGGCAAAGGAGGAGGGAAAUUAUUGAUGGACAGAGUGCAGAGACUGGAACUUGUCUUGCUGGGGUCAGCGGUGAACCUCACUGGAGUAUCAAUAUCCAGGAACCAAAUGCAGAUAAUGUGCAGACUGGGACAGAGCAAAGAAAAUUAAAUCAUGAAAACUCCAAGAAGGUAAAUUUGAAGUAGACUUGCUGUUAUUGUACACAUUUCUUGGGUUGUUUACAUAUAGUUCAUUCUGUGAGAACUUCAGCUUCUGGUACAGUCAUACAAGUACUAAUAAGGUGUCAUGAUCAUGAGAUUGGGAAUUGCCUUUGUUUUUCUUUUAACUCCAUAUCAGUAUCUGAGAAAAUAGUCUGUAAAAUAAUGCUGAGAAAAAUGGUACCUACCUUGAUUCAGGAAUGACCUUAUUCUGUUUUGUCUUAGUUUGAGAAAUAGGGUUCCAUUCAAUUCCAUGUCAGAGUGGCUUGGAAUUGAACCAAUCACUUUUUAUUCCUCAAACAGUGGUCUUGAAGAGAUUUUUAAAAAUAUGAUCCAAAGAUUAUUCCAUAUCCUAAGGGGAACAGAUCUUGGUCUGCCUAACACCUCUUUAACUGAAGCAAAAUAAAAUUCAUACUUAGGAGUCGGAGUCACCAAGAUUUGAAGAAGCCCAUUUAAUUUGUUGUUAUUUAUUUUUUGAUUAAGUGGAAGUGUUUAAAAUAAAAAGUGGCUCUGAAUUGCAAGAAGUUGGUGGUAAAACAAAAGCACAUCUAUUCCCCCAAGAAAGAAGAUACAAACAAUUUAAUCAGAAGGCAAUAAGGGUCUUAUAAUAACUUCUUCUUAAAAAUAUAUUCAGAAGCACUACUUUUCUGAAAAGAAGAGUAUAAAGGCAAGAAAGUCUGCCUGUACUGAAAACUUGAGCUCAUUUCCCCUCAGUUAAUAGUACAGGAGAACACAACCAUUAUAUUCCAAAUAAUAUUUAAAUAUAAGGUUAAUGUACAAUUUAAUGAAAUACAUAGAAACUAGCCUAUGUUACAAAUUACUUCAAAAUUAAUGGAUUUUUUUUGUCUCUAACAAUUUUAAGAUAAACUUCUUUGCCUGACAUUCAAGGUCAUGGCCUAAAUUUCCAAAAGUCUUCUCAUAUUUUUACCUUGGCCUCAAGUCCCAUCAAUCUAUUGUCCUUGUUUCACAUAUUCAAUCUUCUAUGUUAUCUCUACUUGUGACUUCAAUCAAUGAUGUUUAAAUCCUUUCACCUUCCAAGCUCCAUUUCAAAAAUGUCACCUCUGUUUCAUAUCUCAAUUUUUGAUUUCUUUAAUUUAUGAAAAUCCAAAUUUGCAACCUCUCUUCUUUUAACCUUCUAUUUCAUUAAGACAGCAGUGACAGAGUAAAUAAAAUAUUCUUAGCAAAAUAUUUGAAGUUAAGUAAUUUUUCUUUUUUAUAAUAUUUAUUUUUUAGUUUUAGGUGGACACAACAUCUUUAUUUUUAUGUGGUGCUGAGAACCGAACCCAGUGCUUCACGCAUGCUAGGUGAGCCAGCUACCGCUUGAGCCACAUCCCCAGCCCCAAUUUUUCUUAAAGACUUAUUAACAUUCAAGUUUUUGUGUGAUUUUCUUUCCAAGUCAAUUGUUCUACAAUUUGUUGAGUAUUUUAUUUUCAGUCAUGGGCUAUAACAUAAAAAUGGAAAAUGGAUUAGGACACUGUACCUAACCUCACAAUUUUCUUAUCUAAUGCACAAGUGAGAUUGGAAUAUGGCUAGAAAACAAUGGCUCCAAAGAAGCAGGCCAAUAGCACAUCACAUGAGAUUUUCAAAAGUGUCUACAUGUCUGACUUAUUCAAGAUUCAGACUGUAAGUUUCAGUAAGUAUUAUUUUGUCAUGCCAUCGAUCACUAAAAGUACACAUUCAUCAUCUAGAAACAAAAACCCAACCAAAUAAACACAACAACAACAACAAAAAAAAAAAACAUAAAAAUUUAAUCAGUUGCCCUGGGCAAAUUUGAAUUUGCUUCUCAGUUUCAUGUAUUUCAGAUUUUCACAUUUCAAGGUUCAGUUAGCCUCUAUGAGUCAGAUGAAACUUUCUUUAAAAAAAAAUCUAUUCAGACCUACUUAUUUGCAUAUCUGUGUAUUUUGUAAGUGUGGAAUUUUUAGACUAAAAUUUCUGACCACAAAGUUGUAGUCUCAUGAUAAUGUGUAAAUAUUUUUAAGAAUACUCUCUAUAAUUCAAUUUUUAAAAAUAUCUUUUAGUGCUGAGCACAAAAAAUGUUCAAGUAUGCCAAAAUAUAGACAAAAUGUAUGCUUAUAAAAAAUUUAAUAGGUCCUCAAACAUCAUUUGGAAAGGUAGGUAUAAUGUUUGCUUAUUUCAUAAAAAUAUAGAAAAGUUUAAAAUGGAAUUAUUAUCUUGAACCAAACAAUUAACCUCUCUGUGCAAUCAACUACUCACAUAUAAGUUUUAAUUGAAUAUUUAUUCCUAUUAGAUAUUUACAGGUAUAUUUUACACUAUGAAAGGAAAAUGUUUUGGAAAAAUCAAUAAAUAUUGGCACAUAUUUUAAGUAUCAAUAAGUAGUUUGUUAUGGCUUGAAUAUUAGAUGUCCCCAAAAAAGACAAUACAAGAAACUUUAGAGGUGAAAUAUUGAGUUUUGAAAGCCUUAAACCAAUUCGCAAAUUAAUUCUCUAAUAGGGAUUAACCUAGUGGUAAUUCUAUGCUGGUAGGGUUUGGCUGGAGGAAGUCUGUCCCUGGGGGUGUGCCUUUGGGGUAUUUAUUUGGUGAGCUGAACUUAGACUCUCUCUCUCUGCUUUCUGGUGUGAUGCUUUGAGUUGCUUCCAUCCAUCACACUCUUCCUCCGUACUGUUCUGCUUCCUCUCUAGCCUUGAGGAUGGGUUUGGCUGAGACCUUUGAAAUCAUGAGUCAUCAAACUUUUCUUCUCCAAAUUGUUCUUUUAAAGUCUUUUAGUCAUAGUAGAAAAAAAAUGUAGGUCAAAACAAAACAAACUAAAACUGUCAUUAUUGGAAAUGACAAUAUAUAUGCAUACAUACACAUAGGAAGAAAGUCAAUUUUUCCCCUUUUUGAAUUAUUCCAACAGUCUCAAAAUAUUAAGAAUUAAAAUAUAAAAUGGACCUCCUCAUGCUAAAAGAACACAUGAAAUUCAUCAGCCACUGCGCUCAUGGGCUCUUCAUAUAGCCUGCCCUGUGGCUGGCAUGGAGAGACCUCUGAGGCACCUGAUUUUCAGAGGCCUGUAUAAUGGUCUUCCUGAAUACUUUUAGAUUAUAAUAAACUUAAAUGAAUAUCCUUUCAUAAAAGAGAAAAUGGUGAAAGAGAAAAAAUGUUAAAUUAGCCCAUUAUCAUUAGUAAUUUAUAGAUGCCCUGUGGUCAGGUCGUUAGGAACACAAGGUAUGGACUUUGGAACCAUACCUGUGAUCUCACAGCCUGUUCCUUUCAAAGAACUUAUGUGGAUUGUGCAGCAGGCAGACCUUGGGGAUCUGAGUGCCAGGUCUGAUGAAAAGUGCAAUGUCACUGACUCAGUAUCUCAAGUUAGGAAGAGGAUUUGUUUACCUCUAAGGUUUCUUUUUUCUGAGAUCCUUGAUCAGAAAAAGUUGCUAAAGUAAAAUUGGUUACUAAAGAAAAACGUUUUCUUUCUUUCUUUUUUAAUUUUUUUUUAUUUUUUAUUGUAUUGCUCUGCCAGGGGUUGAACCCAGGCCUUUCCAGAAAAAAAUCUUAGGAGAAAAACAAGAUCUUGUUUGAAGGUUUGAAAAAAGAUAUAUACAUAAUAAAUGUGUAGAUACAGGUAGACAGAGAUGGAUGAAUAUAUAUUGCUACUUUCUAUACCCACAAUUAAGUAUAUAAUGAGCACAGUGAUAAUAAUUUUCUAAUAUGGUUUAGUAGUUGAAUGAUAACAUACAACAGUGGUAAACCAUAUAAGAGAAAUUUUAUGAUAGCUAUAAAUAUCACCUUAGGAGAUUGUAUCACAAUGAUAAUUUAAAUCAUUAUAAUCUAGGUAGUCAAUUAAAUAUAUCUCAAAUAACUUACAAACAUGGAUAAAUUUUUUUCAUAACAUUCUUUUUUCUUUUUCCUUUGGUGCUAAAGAUCAAACUCUAAGGCCUCAAGCAUGUUACCACUGAGCCACAUCUUCAAACAUAGAUCAAUAUUUUCAAAACUAUCACAGAGUUCAACUUCAUCAAGUUAUUGCUUGAUUUUUGGAAUUCAUAUAAAAAAGUCAGAUGAUGGAAAAUUAAUCUGACUAAACAAGCAUGUUUCUGUUACCACUUCAUUUGUAUAUAUUUUAGUCAACAAAUAUUAUCCUAUUAUUUCAUCUAUUUAGCAAACAAAAACUCAUGUUAAAAUAUAAGGGCAUUUCUAAUACAAUUAGAAAAAAUAAUUUAUACAUAUAUAAAGUACAUAACAACAAACUGACAUACAUUAUACUCAUUUCUUAUACCUCAAAUUCCCCCCAAAACAGCUACACUAUUAAAAGUAAACAAGAAGAUUUUUAUGGGUAAGUGGAUUGAAAAAUAUGGGAAGAUCAGUAGAAGAAAAAAAGACUUUCCCCUGUUUUCUGGGCUAGAGUCUAAUGAGUAAGGCUAUCUUAUUUUAUAAAGAACCUGGUAUAUGCGUUGUUUAAUAAGCUUUCUUCAGUUAUAAUAGAAGCAAAUUAAAAACCAAAAGUAGAAUGACAAAAUUUGGAAAAGAGAAGUUCUGUAGGAAACUGGUAGAAGCCUGUGAUGGACAAUUAUAAAUAAUAAGAUAACACAGAAAUAUAAGAUUUAAUGGGGAAAAAAUUAAUGUACUUCAAUAUGCUGCCUGUCUUCAUGCCCUCACCAUGGUGGUUCAUAGAUUUUAAAAGUUUCAAUGAACUUUGUGUCACCUACUCAUAUUGGCACUUGUAAUUUCACCCUUAUAGUCAAUGUCUUCAUUCAUUUGACUUGCAUCUUCCUCCUGGGUGGAUAUAAUAAUCUCCUAAUGCUUUUGUUUUUCCUAGUCUUGCCUUUAAAUUGUUUUCUGGAUUGCAACAUAGGUUAUUUUCCUAUGGCUAAAAUUUGAUCAACUCACCAACCUACUUUAAACCCAUGAAUGUGUUUCAGGAAAUAUAAAGUUAUUUCUCUGAGAUUAAUAUUUAUCGUAUAUGUCUAACACCCCUUCCUAUCCUAUUUUGUGUUUAGUUACCAUGUCUUCUAAGGCCUCCAGUAUUUUGUCUCUACUAUAUUCCACUCCAGUAGUAAUUUCCUUUUUGGACUAGUUAACUCUUAGUUUGCUGAUCAUUUUUUACAGAUAUGGAGACAGUGAUCUCCAAUCUUGGGCGAUGUGCUUCUCUGAUGUGCUUCCAUGGCACCCAUCAUACCACUGUGGUGUUUGUCCAAUUGCUUGUCAUUGAUUUCUUUAAAGUGUGGGUGUUUUCAAGACUAGGGACUUUGAAAGCCAUGUUUUGGGUUUUUUGUUUUGUUUCGUUUUUGCUCAUUUAAUUUUUUUUCUAAUUAGUUAUACAUGAUAGCAGGAUGCAUUUUGAUUCAUUGUACACAAAUGGAGCACAAUUUUCCAUUUCUCUGUGCAUGAUACAGAGUUGUACCACAUGUGCAGAAAUACAUGUACCUAGGGUAAUGAUGUUCAUCUCAUUCCACCAUCUUUCCUGCCCCUAUAUCUCCCCUCCCCUUUGCCCAAAGCUCUUUCAUUCUCCCCAUGCUCCCCCCCCCCCCAAUAUGAAUCAGUAUCCACUUAUCAGACAGAACAUUCAGCCUUCGGUUUUUUGAAAUUGGUUUACUUGGCUUAGCAUGAUAGUCUACAACUCCAUCCAUUUACCUGCAAAUACUAUAAUUUUAUUCCCUUUUAAUGCAGAGUAAUAUUCCACUGUGUAUAUGUACCACAUUUUCUUUAUCCAUUCAUUUGUUGAAGGGCAUCUGGGUUGGUUCCAUAGUUUAGCUAUUGUGAAUUGAGCUACUAUGAACAUUGAUGCGGCUGUGUCACUACAGUAUGGUGAUUUUAAGUCUAUGGGUAUAGAAUAAGGAAUGGAAUAGCUGGAUCAAAUAGUGAUUCCAUUCCAAGUUUUCUAAAUUUCCAUAUUACUUUCCUGAUUGGUUGCACCAAUUUGUAGUGCCAUCAGCAAUGCAUGAGUGUAACUUUUUCUCCAUAUCUUUGCCAAGCUGUGCUUGAAUCAUCUUCAGUGCUCAAACUGCUACAUUUCUGACAUGUUAAAUGACAUGAUGAAUAUUUGAUUGUUGAAUGGAUAAGCAAUCUGAUGAAUAUUAAAAUAUCUACACAUAACUGAUACAUGUUUUUUUCAGCAUGCAAGGAAUAUUUACAUAAAAAUUACAUAUGUAAAAGAAGAAAAGUUAGUAAGUUCCACUAAGAAAAUGCUAUAUGGACUUGUUUUUGUUGGCUUUUUGCUGCUAUGACUAAAAGACCCAACAAGAACAAUUUCAGAGGAGGGAAAAUUUGUGGAGAGCCUCAUGGUUUCAGAGGUCUCAGUCCAUAGAGAGUCGGCUCCAUUCCCUGGAGCUGACAGUGAGGCUGAAUAUCAUGAUAGGAAAGUGUGGCAGAGGGAAUCAGCCCAAGUCAUCACAUCAGGAAGCAAAGAGAGAGAGAUUCCAUUUGUCAGAUACAAAAUAUAUAACCCAAAGGCACAAAAUAGUUUUCUUUCCAGAGUCAUCCACUAAUCUGAUCUGAGACUUUAGACUUGGUUAUGUGACUUGUUUGGGCCAAUGAAACAAGAGUGUAUGUGACCCAAGUUAUUUCCCAGCAGAAUCAUGAAGGUGCUUUCUCCACAUUUCUUUUGCCCUUCUUUUGACCUGAUACCCCAGGUAGGUUCAGGAUAUACCAUCAGCCUAGGUUCCAGAGAGAGAGAAGCCAACCCAGGAUAGCGGCAUAACAUGAAUUUCAGGAUCAAUGAGUAAAAGAUAAUGACAAGGAGAUAUUUUUUCACUUUACUUUCUUGAUUUAAGCCUAAUAAUGUGCAGUCAUAGGGCAGCCAUUUCCCACAGAGAAAAAAGUAAAUGUGCAAGACAAAAUGUAAACAGUCUUUAAAUAUAUAGAGUGACUUUUAUGUAGAGCCAGAUAAAAGAGGUAAUAUAAAUAUGUUAAAAUGGGAUUAUAUAAACUAUAUCAAUAUAUCUUAUGGGUAACAACCCAUCAUAAUUUAUUUUUAAGAGAUUAUGAGAAAAUCAUACAAUGAAUAGAUUCACCCACAUUUUUCUAAACUGUUCUGCCUAUGUCUAGUUUUAUGGUUACUUGAAGAGCUAAUAAUAUGACUGUUUAAAGAUUCAGAACAUCAAAUUUGUAUAUCACAUAAUUUUUAUAUCUACAUUCAAUAUUUAUAAAUUAGUGUAGAUAGCAAGUUAUGUUUAAGGAAAGCAUAGAUAUGCUUAUUUCUCCAUUGCUUCUUCAAUGACUUCUCACUGAAAAAUUGUUAUUAUUGGAGCCCAGUUAUGUGUUCCAGCAAAAUUUGACUAUGGAAAUUUUUAUUCCUUGAUCACUUGUUACUUAUUUAUCCUUAUAGAAUACCUUCCACUGGAAGCAUUUUCAGAGAUAAUACUAUAUUUUAUUCAAAGGGCUUUAAUUUAGACUUCCUUUAAAGUUGCUGUGUAACCUGCUUUUUCUUCUCAAAUUUAAAAUACAGUGUGUCCAAAGAUGUAGCUCUAUAAAACUGACACAUCUUCCUACUCCAGUUUUCUUCCCAUCAGUGACUUUCUUAUCAUUCCCACUCAGUUACCAAGUUCUUUUUUAAAAUAAUGUAGUCAGUAGUGCAAGCUUAACCACUUAUUUGAAAAUCAAGCUAUGUGCUUUUCACUUCAUAUAUCAUCACCAGCAAUAAAAAUCCUGAGAUCAGAAUGUUGCUGGCAGCAUUUUGACACUGCAUUAGGUAGAAUAAAACGCAUCCUGCUUUUUGGAAGUGCACAGCUCAGCAUUGAUGAUAAUCAUACAAUUGUUUUUUCUUCUUCAGACCUGAUUUCUAGGGCUCGCCAGGCUGAACAAAUGUGCAAUGAAAGUGUGCUAUUUCAAGUCUGGAAAGAAACUUUUCUGAUCACGAUUCUACUUUUGAAGUAAUGUUUGUUUUUUUUUUUCCCCAAAUGACAGAACUUUCAAUACUAUUAGUAGCCAUGGAGAAUUUUUGUUUAUAAAAAUGAUGAGUCUAUAUAGUCUGAACGUGCAAGUUUCAAAGUUCAGUCAGUUCUUUCAUGAUUGAUAACUAGGACAAGUUUUUUUUUGUGCCCAUUACCCACUGUGUUUCUUUCUCUUUUCGCCUGUGAUUGUAAAAGUCUUGUUUUCAUUGUAGUUAUUACUUAGAAUAAUCAUUUACCAAAAUAAUUUCAUAUUAACAAGAAAAUAUUUGGGGAGGUUGCUACAAGAGAAGACUUCAUGGUUUAUACUUCCCAUGUUUCUCUAAGGAUAACAUCAGGAUAUGAGUUAAGGGAUGGUAGAGAUUACGGCCAAAAGAUAGAAAACUGUAGAAGAGCAUGAGGUGGAAAUCAGGCAAAUGAAAAGAGUACUUGGAGCUAGGCCUUUUCAAACUGUAAAGUAGCCUGAGAGGAAGUGAUUUUUAGUUUAAAUCUCUGGAACUAAUAUCUGUUGAAAAUCAAAAAGUAAUAAGGCCAUUUGCUGGUCUAUUACUUUAUUUUUGGUAAUGGAUGCUAUCUGUACGUAGGCACAGUGAAGGGGUUUGCAUAUUCAAGAAAGCCACAUAUCCACUAAUGGAUUUGUGUGUGCACAAAUGUGUGUAUAUGUGUGUGUGUGUUUACUUAUUUCAUCACUCUGAAUAUGUGGCUUUUUUAAAUAUGCAACCCCUUCAUUAUUCAUUAAGCCUACCUAAUGAAUAAUACAAACAGUAGUCAUGGAGGGGAAUACUUUUUUCUCUCCAGUUCUUCUUCAGGCAUUUACAAACUGGGACAGUCUCUAUGACACAGAAACACAGAUUUGUAGUGAUAGAGUGGAAUGACAGUAUCUACUCGUGCCUCAAAAACCAAUUUAGAAAUGGAAUCAUAAUAUCAUAAUGUAAGUCACAUUUAGUAUAUAGAUCACUAGACGUCUACAUACUUCCAGAGGUCUUGUGAAGGGAAUAAUUAUGUACUUGAUGGAGAAAAGAAUGUACACAAUUUCCUUUUUGCUAAAAAAAAUGAUUCCUCUGUGUGUGUGUGUGCAUGUUUAGCACCUACUGUGCUACUUAUUAUAAAGAAAGUGGUUAAAAGGGGAACUACUCUUAAGAGAUCUAUUAUGGUUAAAUAUUAAAUAUGAAUUACUGUUCUAUGGUUAUAUGAAUGGUGAAUAAUGAUCCUCAAAUUUUAAAUAACUAUAUCAAUAUGAUCUUGUUGGGGAAAUAGUUUUCCUGCAAAUAUUCUGUGGAGCCCUCAGAGAGUUGACACAUAUGCCUAUGCAGGUUGUGCACUAUAUAAGGAGAACCACCUGAAGACAGUGAAGAAGGACUGAAAUCUAGCAUCUGUGUCAUGCUAUGCGCUAACUUUUUCCAAGAGAAGCACACUGUUACAAUCUUUAUCACACUGUCUUAUAGGUUAAUGUGGUAACCUCUAGGAAAAUAUUUUUUUAAAAAAUCUGGCCACCUACACUACUCCUGGUAAGGCAAAAUAUACUUUUCUAGAACUGAUAAGAAUGAGAUGAGUCUAAGAUAUAUGCACAGGCAAAAGUUUUAGACUUAAAAUUUAGAUGAUCAUUUUGCACAGUUAUCUAUUACAAGAUACUAAUACUUAACUUAAAAUACAUUUUAUUUUCAAUCUAUAUGAUUUCAGAGAAGCGGAAAAGACUUGGCAUCGUUUUAAUUUUUUUAGAGAAUACCAGAUAGCACUUUUAUGUAUUAUAGAAGGUCUUAAUGAGUUAGUUGGUUAAUAUUUCUCACUUUUUUCCUUAAGAAACUUUAAUGAUCAUUAAUUUUGUUCAUAAAACAAUGGUGAAUGUAAUUGUAAAUAUAAAAAAAACAGAUGGUUGAUAUGCAUUUGGUUUUGGAAAGUCCUCUGUAUUAGGAUAAUCCUUCAUGUCUUAUAAAGGAUUAACUAAUUCCUCUUGCAUCUCUUUCCUCUAUCAAACAGUAGAUCUGAGUCUAUUGUGACUCCUAGUGGCUGGAGAAGAUGAUUUUCCUGGGUAGCAUAUACAAACAUGUCACAUUCUUUCCCACUCCCCCUUUACAGUAUUUUAUUUCUUAAAGCCAGUGAAUUGACACUUCAUACACUUCCACACGUGUGUUCACCUUUUAUUUUCCUUUAUUUGUUGUAACUUUCUGCUUGGUUUUCACUCUAUUAUACUGAAUAUUGAAAAUCUUUCCUUUCUGCCACAUAAGUCAUGUCCUUAUUUUUUUGUUUCUUAAACAUGUUUCUCUCAACAAGCAUUAUUGAAAUACCAUAAAAAAUUAUUGUUGAGAAGUUUGCCUGGAGAAAGAACAUUUUUUGCCCAUAAAUGGUGCUUAGAAACUUGUAUUUCUACACAAAGAAUGAAACUAGACUCCUAUGUCUCACCAGUUGUACAAAUGCAAAACAACUCACAGUAAAUGAAAGACUUAAAUAUAAGUCCAGAAACUAUGAAAACACUAAAAAGAACUUAGGGGAAGUGCUUCAGGACAUUGGAAUAAGAUCCUGAAGAUCCCCAAGAUCCAUGGACAAGGAUCUUUUGAGGAAGGCCAACAGUGAUUUCCAUAACAUCUAAAAUUAGAUGGACACUGCUAAAGGGCUCAAUUUUAAUUAUGUUAACAUAAUUUACAAAUUUCUCAUUAACAUUUUAUCAUGAUCUCAGAAUCUAAUAAUAUCCAUCCUUCCAAUCCAGAAAGAAAGAUUUGAAAUUUUGAAAUACUUUCAGUACCUGUAGCUUCGGUCAUGAAGUUUUACUAAGAACAUAAAGAAACAGAUGUCAACAGGUAAUAAUCAAUUCAGCCUGCCUCAAACAACUCUUCCUGGACACCUCUUUGUGUUCAGCAUUGGGACUGAAAUGAUGAACUAAGUGCUAUACUUUUCCUUACAAAAUUUGAAGUUUAGAAUUUAGACACAUACUGUAAUACUCGUAAUACAAUAUAAAAAGAGUAAAUUGAGAUAUUGUGUAGCUACUGUCAAGGGGGCAAGUUCUGAGAAAAUGUCAAAAAGAAACAGAAGCAUUAUCUUCUGUCCAAACUAAAAGCAGAAGAAAAUGCUGAAAGGAGUGAUAACAGCCUUCAUACAGGCAGCCUACAAGUAGAAGUAGUAAGAUAGUGGACCAGAAAGAAAGGUUAAAAAUUUAAGAGUCUGUAUCUAUAUUUUUAUAGCUUUUGUGUGCUGUGAUAAAAACAGCAAGUUCAAUUCCUCUCAGAAGUUACAUAAAGCAGACCAAGGUGCCUGUAGUCACUAGAUGGAAUUGAAUAUGCAGGCAGCAGUUAUAAAGAAGACACAAGAAAGGCCACCAGCACCACACUGCAGCACCACAAUAGUUUCACAAUAGUGUCUCUGCUUAAGCAAUCAUUUUUCUACUCACCAUGAGCGUCAUUUCCCUAGUGCUAUGCUCUUUAUUAUGCAAGCACUGCUUUUACCCAUCACACAGAGAAGCAGAGGCAUCUAUCUCAGGAGUGAUAAGACAGCAGGCUGCUGGCUUUCCCCAAGGCUGGGAGCUUUUUUUCUGUUUGUUUGUUUCCUCACAGGAGACAGUGCUGACCGCCAAAUACAUCUUAGGAAUAAAAGUUGAAGAAGAAGGCAGGCAAAUACUGCUCUUCCAAGAGCAAUUGUCAGAUGUCUUAAAACCUGUGAUCACACUCAUACUUUCUAUUGAGAAUCAACUCCCUCUUCUUCCAUGUUCAAUAGUUCCUUUUUAAACAGUUUCUCUAGGUUGCAAAAUUUCAGGUCAUAUUUGUGAAGUUCUUUGAAGCUACAGGAAGAAAGUAUUUACUAGAUAGAUAGACAGAGAUAGAUAGAUAGAUAGAUAGAGGUUGAGACAGAUAUAAUGGUAAAAUGAAGCCAUCUUGUUCAAUAUAUAAUUAAAAACUUUUCCAUGAAUCAGCUUUAGGUUUACCUGAGUUGAGCUAACCACAUUUUAGGAGGCAAUGAAAGGUAAUGAAUAAGAAUACAGAAAUUAAUUUUAAAAGAUAUUAUAAAUGAAGCAUUUUCAAAAGCAAUUAAUUCUAUAAAAAUGAUAGUAAGAAACUACUAAAAGUCAUGAUAUAUGAUAUUACAUUCCAUAUGUAUUUGUUAAAAUAUGUAGUUAAAAAAUUCUUGUAAGUAAUAUGUAAUUAGGUUGGUUUUAAUUAUGACUUAUCUUUAUAUGAAAAAAAUAAUAUUCAUUUUAAAUUAGUAUUAACUUCAUCUUUCCUGACCAAAUAUUUUCAAUAACUUCCUUCUAGAAGGCAUAAAUUAAUAUUUCAUUGUAACUCCUAAAUGCGUUUAUUUUCCUAUCUGUUCUUCAAGCUUUUCCUAGAAUGUAUUCUAGCUUUUUAUGUGUCUCAAAUCUUCUGACUGCUAUUCUCGCAGUGAAAUUAGACUUUCUGUGGAAAAAGUCAACCAACACCUUUUUUUGGUUGCAUGUAUCAACAAAACUACCAGGACAUAUCUGAUUUGUCAAAUUUUCAGUGAUUACCGUCAGUUAUACUAGAUGUGAAGAAGAAAGAACAGCUUGAUUUUUAAAGUGAAGAUUGAACUUCAACACUAUCAGAAAAAAAAUAAUCUUGUUUUGACUUGUACAAUGAACACAUUUGCUAUGUAAGACACAGAUGGAGACAAAACAAGAAAUAACAGAAUGUCAUUCUCAGAUGUCCUUUUCUGACCAAAACCACAUGACAACCUCUUGUAUAGUAUAGCUGUGAAAUAUAUUAUAUUGUUGGGAGGAAAGAAAUUUGAAAUUUAAUUACCCUCACAUGUUUACUUUCUAUGUAUUGAAUUUAUUUUGUUAUUAUAAAAAUAAUAUUAAUUUAAGAGAGACCUGGGGCUGCUAUGUUAUUGUCUAGGGAUUGCCAGUCACACUCAUGGGCACAGGUUGUAGCUCUAGCCUCCACCUAAAUCAUGUACAAGUUAAUUGUUCCAAUACUGUGAAUACUCUGGGCAGUUUCUUAUUUGCUACACCUCUGGAGUAUUGUAAAUCACCCAUUAACUUUAGUUAUGGAGUCCUGAAUUAUGAACAUGUCUGCAUUACAUUCCCCUUACUGGUAUAACAAAUUAUUAUCAACUCAAUGACCUAAAACAACACAAGCUUAUCAUCUUGCAGUUCUGAAGGCCAGGAGUCUGAAAUGAAUUUCACAGUAACAAAAUCCAGCUUCUAAAUACCACCUAACUCUCUUGGCUGAUGACCCCUUUCUCCAUUGUAAAAGCUAGCAGUAGUGUAGCAUCUUAAAAUCCCUUUCUCUCUUAUACUCACACAAAUAAUGAUGUGUGCACCUUUAAUUCUGACACUCAUGCUUCUUCCUUAUUAAGGCACCUGUGAUUAUACAGAGCUUAUACGGAUAAUCCAGGAGGGAUAAUCAAUAGUAAUUGGUAAAUGAGAAGUUUGUAUAAAAAUAUUUUUUUCUUCUUCAAUGUUAAAUAUAUUCUUUUUUAUGGAUAAUAUUCAUUUUCUAUUUUAUGAAUUGUCUUUUUACAUCAUUUGCUCAUUUUCCUAAUGAUUUUUGUAUGUUUUCAUGUGUGAACUUUGAAUAUAAAGGGAAACAAUCCUGUGUCACAAGCAUUACAAUAUUUUCAUAGUCUAUAAAUACUAUAUUUUGUGUUAUCUAUUGGAAACUUCCUGAUGAAGUACUUGUAGUUCAUUCAUUCAUUUAUAAUUUUCUCCCUCAGCAAAGGGGACAAAAGAAAGGGUCAAAAGAGCACACAUUGAAAAUAGGUGAAGGUAAGCAAAGAGUUACUUAGGAAUAAGAGUAUAUGUGUAAUUUCAUUUCAUCUCACAGGAACAUACAAGUGCAGACAAAAGCUUUUCAAUUUUGAAGCUUAAUAUAUGGAGGCUCAGAGUUUAAGUAAUGUCACUGGGAUUUAAAACAAUAUCUGAAUGGCUUAAAAAGCUCUUUCAUUAAGCCAUGCUGCCAAAUGUAAUGAUAUUGCUGCAAAUCUGUUCAGUGUUAUCCUUUGAGCCUUUUAUCCUACAUAAUCCAAUUUCGUUGACCUGUCAUGUUUUAUGAAUAGUGAAUUAACCUAAGAAUAGAUAUAUGAUGAAGUAAGCAAUUGUAUAUUUUAGGUAAAGUAUACAUACACACACAUUUUCUGAUAUUCAUUUUAACAGAUAUUAGAUGACUAAAAACCCAUAAAAUGUUUAGUAUACAACCAUAAAGUAUAUGGAAAUGACAGAAAAUCAAUAAUCAAAUUAAAUUCAUGACAGAUAUUACAUCAAUUAUUGGUUAAAAGGUGUUUGUCAAUGCAGUGUAAACAUUCUAAAAUUAAGUUUAACAAAAUCUUUGUUCUAGCAAACAAACUCUUGCAGUAUGCACUUAUCUAAAAAUUUGACUAAUGUGCUUAGCAAUAUGGUGAAGAAAUUGCAAUAUGAUACUACUUAGAAUAGUGAUGGAUGUGUUUUCUUCUUUGAUAAUGCUGAGUGAAAACAUUUAAAUAUUUUAAUUAGUAUUGUAAAUUAGGAUCUACCUUACCUCCAUAUAUAUAUAUAUAUAUAUAUAUAUAUAUAUAUAUAUAUAUAUAUAUAUAAAUGUGACUUGGAAAUUAAUGCAGAUACCAAAAUUCCACUUGUAAGAGGGCCUGAGAACCACUCUUAUUUGUUUUUUCUCUCCUAGACAUUUCCUUCGGUAUUUAGUUUGAAUUGCAUAUUAGCUUCUUGCCUUUCUUUGAAUAACUUUCUUAAUUCCUACCAAUGGUUUCUGAAUCUCCAAAAUCAAUUAUUGUACUCAAACCCUCAUCUUAGAAUCAGCUUCUGGGGAAACAAUCUAAGAUAAUUGGGAUCAGAAAGUAUACUAAAAAUCAAAUUCUACAGGUAGAGUAAAAAAAAUGGAAUUUAAGCCAGUUCAAUGGCAACAUGAAUUCUAUAAUUGAUUUUACAUUUGGUGAUGAUACUUUUGGCAUUCUGUUGCAUGAUUAUUGCUGUGGUAAAUCAAUAUGUGAUACAGUUGAAAGGAAAAGUGCUGGUUUAUGCAGUAUAUCCAAUAUUGGAGAAAAAUGAAAGUCAUAGUGAUUUAAAUACUACAGAACUGAAUGGCAACUGUAAUAAAGUGGCCUGUUCAACCCAGACAUUAGUGAAGUUAGGGUGCAUUGUGAAAGCCAGAACACCUAAAAAACACCCUUGUAACCUGCAACAAGAAGAUAGAUCAGGUGGGAAAUCAAACCUGAAAGAAUUUUUUGCAGUACCAAAAUUACAAAGAAGUCUUAAUCCACAGCCUCAGCAAGUCUGAGAUUAGUGAAACAUGGAAUUAGUAAAUCAUGGGAUUAGUGAGACAUCUAGACUUAAGAGGAGGUAUCUAAGAACUAGAUUGUAACUGAAGCUUCUGUUAGAUUCAAUCCUCUGAAUAUAAAGAGGCAGUCAACCCCUUUCUAGAGGAUAAUGAUCUCCCUUUGCCUAGAUACCAUGCAAAGAGGACAUGUAACACUAUGACAUGAGCAUGUGAUCGUCCCCUUGAGAACUUCACAAGCAGAACUAAGUUUACACAAGUAACAAUACCAAUGCACUGGAACCAAAGCAAGAAUACUGAGAAUUCCUGCACAAGUUUGGAUUCAGAAUCUGUACUGAAACUAAAAUGAGAUUCCAAAUAAGCAUCAUAGCUAUCCUGUUUAUAUCACAGCAUACAGAAUCUACAUGGAAAAUGGAAUCACAGUACGAUUUUAAUUAUAGAAGGUUUAAUACCCAUGAAUCUAUUCAGUAGUCAUUUUCCCAGGUUCUGCAGAGAUGAAUAUUUAUGCUUAUCAAACAGCUGAAACCUGUUGAUGUUCCCUGACCUUUGGAUAAGGGCUGUAACUGCAAGAAUUUCUGACAGGAAGACCAUGUAACAAUCUUAUACCCCACUGAGAAUAAAAAUCUGAAGCAAUUUUGCAUCCCAUGUAGAAUGUCAGAGAUAAAUGACAAGAUUGUGUUGAUGGGGCCUAUCAUAUCCCUUAAUUCACUCAAUCAUGCAGUCUCUACCAGUGUAGAAGAAUUUGGCAGAUUAUACUGAGGUACCAUGAAUUUUACAAAGGUGAUUGCCUGAUCUCAGAUAUUGAAAAAGAAUAUAAUAUCUUUACUAGAAAAUAUCAGCACAGUAUCUCACACUUAAAAUGAGCUAUUAAUUAGCUGUGUACUUUUUUACAGACCUCUAAGACAGGAGAUUUAGAAAUUAAGUUCUCUUAGAAGAUACAAUAGUAUAUAGUCAUGGUCCUUAUCUUAGAGUCAUGCAGUUCAAAAGAAACUCAAUUAUCUAUAUGCUCCAUGGAACAUAACUGUGGUCUUCUACAGUUAAUGACAUCAUAUAAAUCAGAGAGGAGAAGUAGAAAGUGAGAAAUAUUCUUAAUGACAUAGGAAGAUGUCACGAGCCAGCCAUAGGCUGUGUAUGAGAGCUAUGAGCAUUUGAGAACAUGUGCAGACUGGAUUCACAUUGCUGCUCUGACUGGGCUGUGCAAUAUAUCUGUCCUUUUGGCUCCCUCUGCCUUUGAUCCCACACAGCGCCUGAGAGGGUGUGGCCUCCCAAGAUGUCAGUCAAUCUGCUGACCAAAAGACAUCACCAAGCAACUCCCAAACCAAAUCCUUUGCCUUAUUUGGGCUGAACUUUCUUGAUGCCUUUCCCCUCAAUAAAUAGGGUUUCAGUUGUGCUUUUCUCUCUCUUUUUCAAACAUCAGAAAUUUAUUAGUUGCUCAAAACAUUACAUUGAUCUUGACAUAUCAUAUAUCAUACAUUUGAUUCGAAUGGGGUACUCUUGCCUCCCUUUUGAGAGCUGGGGCAGAGGAGCAUUCAGUGAACCCCAAGUAAAAGAUACUUUCUGUGUCUGUGUGAUUAUUAAGUGCCAGCCCAGUUUACCUGGAGUGAUCCUGACUGAUUUAGUUGCGUGUUGCAGCACGAAGACACAAGUAUGCCAAAAAGUAAGAGAUAAAAUCCAAAAUCUGAGAAAACUAACAUUGGUGAAGAUCUUAGUUAACCAGUCGUGUAGCCAAUUCUAGGACAUGCACUCUAAGAAUAAGGUAUUGCACGUGAUACCUCCUGUCACUUGUGGGGUGAUGAGGAGAUUUUAACUAUCCUUAACUAGCUUUGACCUGAAAUCUCUAUUCAAUAAAUCGAGAAUUAAUUUGGAAAACAUAAUUUGAAAUCUCCAAAUGUUGAGUUUUUAAAUGUUCAUAACACAGUUGACUUUAUCUUGAAAAACAAAAUAAUACGACUGAUAUCUUAUUGAGAAGUUGAGUGGAGCAGUGAAAAGGAAAAUUUAAGAGAAAUUCUUGGAAAGUACAAUAGGAAGUCAGGAGAAAAAUGAUUACAAAAUAUGAGUAAAAGGUCAAUUCAGGUAAAAAAAACAUGCAAAUACAAAGAAUUUAUCAAAGAUGGUUACAUUGGUCCCUCUAUGCUCAGCAGAGUCAUAGGAGGGGGAAUAAAAAAAAAAAACAAUGAUCAAGAUAAGCCAUGAUAAAUAUUGGCAAGGUAGCAUGGGGAAAGAUGCUCAGGAAAAUGGGGAAGGAGGGAGAGUGGAAUGUUAGUGGCUUGAGUUUAAAUCCCUGUCAAAAUAGUACCAUGACCCCACAGGGGGGAAAAAUGGAUUUUGAGCAAAGCUUUGCACACCUUUAGUGAAAACUUAAGAAUUUCAAGGAGGUCUGAAAUUUCUCUCAGUAGCUUUAUGGUUAAUGAAAGAACUAGUUUCAAAACAUUGGCAUUGUAAUUUUUUUUUUACAAUUGUAUUCAAACUGCAGGUCAAGGCAUAUAAUUAACUAAUCAUUGUUAACAAUGACUAAAAUUAUUCAUGUUAAGGAUAAGAAUAAAGAAUUUGUACUUUCUAAAUUAUAAAAACAAGGAAUGUAAGGAAAACAUUGUGCCAUGUUUAAAUUGAGUUAGACAUUUCACCUUAUUUUUAUAGCCCUGAGAGUUCCAGGCACUCCACUAAGUAAUGAGUACUCCUAAAAACUCAGAAACACCGACCUUGGUUUCCACCUACUCUCUAAAAUAAACAAGGAUUCUUGGACACAUUUAACAAUCACAACAGAGAAAACACAACAUGAGCCUAGGACUUUUGUUGUUAAAAAAAAACAAAACAAAGAUGCCUGAUGGAGAAGGUUGACAAAAGGAAAGAAAAGUCAGUUUGGGAAAGGGCUUCUGUUGGUCAAGUCUGGAAUAAUUAAAACAUCAUAAGUGACAGCAAUGGAUGUAAAACAUUGGNAUAGCCCUGAGAGUUCCAGGCACUCCACUAAGUAAUGAGUACUCCUAAAAACUCAGAAACACCGACCUUGGUUUCCACCUACUCUCUGAAAUAAACAAGGAUUCUUGGACACAUUUAACAAUCACAACAGAGAAAACACAACAUGAGCCUAGGACUUUUGUUGUUAAAAACAAAAACAAAAAAAAAAAAAAACAAAGAUGCCUGAUGGAGAAGGUUAACAAAAGGAAAGAAAAGUCAGUUUGGGAAAGGGCUUCUGUUGGUCAAGUCUGGAAUAAUUAAAACAUCAUAAGUGACAGCAAUGGAUGUAAAACAUUGGUAAAUAAAAAUCAGUGAGUUUCAUGGUGACACUAAAAAACAUCAAAGGGAAGAUAAGAAAAAAAUUACAUGAUAACAGAAUUUAUCACAAAAAACAGUUAAAUUGCUACAUAAAUGUUGAAUGAAUGUGAAGUAUUGUAUAGCCUAUAUUAGGGAAUGUGAUUUUUAAAUACAUUUGUCAAUUUUCUGAUUAAUAUAAAGGGUUUUACUUGUCAUUUUUAUUGUUUUUCCAAAAAUGAAAGGUUAUAAAUUUUGAGAACUAAAUUAUAAAUUGUUUUCACUUAAUUACAGAAAAAAUCAGAGUUACUCCUUCUAGUACCAACACUGAUUCCCCAAAUCCCAUUACUAUGAAAGAAGACGAAUUAAUAAGAUAUUAACUUAGUUGAAAUAUUUUAAUGAAAAUUACAAAUUAAUAAAAUUAUAAUGUUUUAAUAAUAGUCACUUACAAAAUGAUCAUAACCACUUUAAUAAUGAUUUAAUGUAAAGCUAAGGAAAAAAUUCAAUAUUUCUAUUAUGCCAGAAAUAUUUUUUUUUGAAAAUUAGAUGUACCAUGCAUCUGUUUAAAAUAUUCCAGAAGGAAGUUUUAAGAUAUUUUUCUUUCUAGAUGAAUUAAUUUAUUUGUAACAAAUAAUAAAACCAGAGGUCCUUCAACUCAUGGAAAAAUUAUAAUGCUCUUUUAUUCUGGGAUAAAGGGAUCAUAAAUCCAGGGCACUGACAUGAAAGAGCAUGAGUGUCCACAGAGUUUGUUUAGCUGCAAAAGUCAAGAUGAUGGUCUUUAAAUGAUUUAUGUGGCUGAGUGGUCACUUAGGACAUGGCAAAUAUGCCAUUUAUAGUCUUUACUAAGAGACUGCACAGUUUGUCCAUGAAAAAUGCCCUGAUUUCCUGUGAGAAUUCUUUUUAAAAAAAAAAAAAAAAAACUUAGUACUGAUUAUGAUAAUUUGAUUAGAUUCCUAUAUUUCCUGUAAAAGUAAAACAGUACAUAUUUGUAUCUGUAACAUCAGAAAUACCAGUAAUCUAAAGUUAUGAAUGUUCUCUUUCCAUGAUUUAUAGAGUCUGGUUAACAAAACCAGAGGAGAUGACAGGAACAGUUCCUUUGUUAUGGUUGUAUGCCAAAUGAAAGCAAAUCCUUGGCAAUUCUGAAUGUAUGAGGGAAAGGGGACUGGGGACAGGAAAAAUUGAAAACACGAUUAUUAAGAAUUUAGACAUGGUACUAUGUGUAUUGACAUUUCAAUUCCAAAGCCAUGUAGAAAGACCUAAUCAUGAAAAAAAUAAUCUGAACCUAUCAGUCUAUUGCAUAUUUCAGAAUGCAAAACAAAUUGUCUGAAGUGUGUGGGGCAGCACACAGAUGUGUUUCAGGAGGAAGAAUUUCUUCCAUAGCUCUCUGGAGCCACUGUUUCUCCCAUGUAGGUCACAUGCUGAUGUGGGACAAUGUCUUACAAUGCAUGCACCUAAGAGGUAUAGUAUGGGUAAAUGGAAUACUCAACCACAAAAGUGUUCUUCUAAAAAUAUAAUUGUUGUCUUUCAGAAAACUGAAGUGCAUUUUAAAACAAGUCAUUAAAUAUUUAUUUUCCUUCAAUAUAUAAAUUAAUUUGCUUAGCCAGUGCAAUGUCCUUUAGGAUACAGGAAAUUUUCAUUUCAAUGUUUCUCAUUUGGAAAAUUUAAUAAUUUAUUUUAUUUUUGGUUAUUAAGUGAAUCUGUUCUGUGUUUGCACAUCACUCUAGGAGUUGAAGACAAAAUAAUAACUGAGGAAAAAAUUUGUUUAAAUGAAGUGUACAUUUCUGUGCUGAUAGUGAAAGUGAGGAAUACAUACAAUGAAAAUAAAUAAGUAAAUAUACAAGCUAAUUUUAAACAGGGAUUAAGCACAACAAUUUAAACAAACAAGAUAUGUAAAUAGGGUGUUAACUGGACUGGCUGACUGAUAAAACAUUCAUAGGCAGAAUUCCUUGGAGAGGCAUUUGAGUUGGACCUAAGUGAUAACUAGAUCUGACUGACUAUGUGAAAAAAUAGUGUUGAGGUCCUUUAACAUAACCAAGAAACUUCCCAAGACCAAACAAUUGUUCAGAAUAAAGCCUUAAAAGGGGCAUGGUGUUGUGGGCCUGUAAUCCCAGAAACUGGAGAAGCUGAGGCAGGAGAAUGGGGGCUCAAUGCCAGCCUCAGCAACUUAGGGGAUCCCUAAGAAUAUCAUUGAGAACCUGUCUCUAAAUGAAAUAUAAAAAAGGAAGCUCAGGAGGCUGAGGCAGGAGGAUGGCGUGUUGAAAGCCAGUCUCAGCAAGGGCGAAGUGCUGAGCCAUUCAAGCCACUCAGUAAGACCCUGUCUUUAAAUAAAAUAUAAAAUAGGACUGGGGAUGUGGAUCAGUAUUCAAGUGCCCCUGAGUUCAGUCCCCAGUACUACCCCUCCCCAAAAAGAAAAUGGCUGGGGAUGUGGCUCAGUGGUUAAGUGCCCCUGGGUUUAAUCCCUGGUACCAAAUAAAUACAUGCAUGCAUACAUACAGACUUAGCUCAAACUCAGGUUUUCUCAAUUGGAGAUUAUUGCUCUUGGCACAAAAUGUUUCUAUAAAAAUAAUUACUUUCCAUUCAGAAGUUUGAUCCCUUAUUCAAACCCUACCCUUUUACCCUUUAGUGUUACAUGGUCCCAAGACUUGAUCUUUGAUAUUUUCUCUUCUCCACUUAUGCUACAUUUUUUGCCCUUUGCAAUCAUGUUUCAUUUUCUGCUUUAAAUACCACCUAUAGACUCAUGGCUUGGGCUCUCCUGUCUUAACCUGUCUCUGAUAUUCUGGCACAUAUUUGAUUGCUUGCAUAAUAACAUGAAUGUCUAAUAGAUAUAUCAAGCAUAACAUAUUAUGAAAUAAAAUACUGGUAAUUCUCAUCCAAACCAAUGCUAAUUCUUUCAGUUAAAUGCAAUUAUUUUUUUUCUACUGGCCAAAUUAAAACAAUUUGGGUUCAUUUUGGCUCCUUUCUUUUAUAAACUCUCUCAAAAUUAUAGGUAUAUCCUGUUAGCUUAUUUUCAAAAUUUGUAUAAAAUAUGUUACUUGAUAACCAGGUAAUAUCUUAACAGAUAAAUUUUCUAAUUUUCCCAAUUACAGGUAUUCUGCAGUUUAAUAUAUUGUUGAUUUUCUAAUUAAAAAUGCAUUUUCGUGUGCUUAUUAGUUUCAUUUUUCUUCCAAGUUUGCUUAUGUGAUUCCAUUAAUCACUUUUUCUUGCUCAUUUCAUAAUUACCUUUUCUUUCCUUUUAAUAUUUGAUGCAAUGCCUCCUAAUUCAUAUAUGUACCUUUGUUCAGUAUCUGGUGGUCUAAAGAUGAAAUAGUUUCUAUUGACUGUUACUUAUAUUGCCUGGGCAACUGUGUUUUGUUAUUUUUUAUUGUGUACUACUUAUUUCAUUUUUUUUUUUUUUUUUUUUUGUCUGAGAAUCCUAUAGGCCAAAAUUAGGGAGAAUUUCCCACAGAGAAGUCAGCUCCUCCUAGUGGCUGGGAAGGAUCAUGCUCAUGGGGAUUCUCUUUCAAGUAAUAGUGUCACCUAGAGGUCCAAGACUCAGUUCCUCACCUUUGAUUCUGACCAAAGUAAACUAAGCAACCGUCUGUUAUGUUACUAACAUCCACUUUACCUCUGCUACUUGCACCAGUUUCUGUUUUGUUGUUUGCCUUCAUGUCUGUGGAGCUGUAAUACUCAGAUAUCACAACUUCCUAUAGGACACCUGCACUGAUUAAACAGUGCAUCAUGUCUCUAACAGUUUGGAGGUUAGAGUGUUUUCAUCCCACAACCUAUGAUAAUACUGUCCAAAGGGAAAAACAGUAUUUCUUUUCUUUCCUCUUUGGAAAAUUUGUAUAAAAAUACUGCUAUAAUUGUCAAUUUGUCUUUACUUCUUGUUCUCUCAGGUUUUUCCUAAUGUUUCUGUGCUAUAAUUUCAGGUAUAUAACAAGUUUAUGAUUGAUAAUAUCUUCUUUUUAACAUGAAGUAAUCGCCUUUAUAUCAUAUUUAAUUGGGCUGCCUUAAAUUCUAUUUUCAUGAAUUGAUGCUUUUCUUUUGAGAUACUUUAUGUAAUGAAUCAUUUUAUGUUCUUCUAUUUUCAUCCUCUUUGUAUUGUUUCACAAUGGAUGCAACUCUUAGUGAGUAGGUAGUCAUGUUUUUACAGCUCCGACUCUCUUAUAAUUAUUCUCUCUCUUUUGUGGCUACCAAUGUUAAUAUGUAUUUAUUUGGUCUUACUUUUGUAAUCUUGUAUAUUAUAUGUAGCAUGCUGCUUUUACUUCAUGUGUUUCCCUUUUAGCUUAUAUUGAAUCUAUAAGCUCUUCCUCUUUUUUUUAAUUCAUUAAAUUAUACAUUCUAUUUCUACCUUCACUGAUUAACCUAAAAACCAAAGAAGCUUAAUGACUUUUUAUGUUUUGUGACAAAUUGCACACCCAGCACAGAACUGCAUUUUGUCUCCUUCGACCAACUACUGCUUCUUUCAUUUUCUUCUCCUAAUCUUACACUUAUUUGUAUUUAACAACUUUUAUGCCAGCUUUUCCACCAUUUCUUCUUUUUUUCGUGCUUUGCUUCUGGAUUAUUUUCAAUUUCUUGUUGAAGUAUACUUUUUAAAAAAAAUAUAUACAUAUAUACAUAUAUACACACAUAUAUGUAUAUAUGUAUAUAUUUUAGUUGAAGUUGGACACAAAACCUUUAUUUUAUUUAUUCAUUUUUAUGUGGUGCUGAGGAUCAAACCCAGGGCCUUGCACGUGUGAGGCAAAUGAUCUACCACUGAGCCGUAACCCCAGCCCGAAGUAUACUUUUUAAUAGGUUUCUUUCCCUAAAGUUCACACAUCUAUUAAGCUCCUCAUCAUGUUUUGCUUUUAUGUGUGUUAUUUUAAUUCUUUUUUUUUUCAAGCUGAGCUGGAUAGAAAAUUAGAGGUUGAAAUCAAUUAUCUUUUAUCAGCUUUACAGUAAAAUUUCAUUGCAUUCUGACUCUUUUUAAAAGUAUAGAUUAGGUCUGUUAUAAUUAAGCAUUUUUCUUCUGUUAGCACAUUAUCUUUUUCUUUAGGAGUUUUGAGAUUUUUCUAUUUUUCCUUGACAUUAAUGAGCUUCAUUAGAAUAUAUUGUUUUAUAUAUAUAUAUAUAUAUAUAUAUAUAUAUAUUUUUUUUUUUUGUUCUGGUUGCUCUGAUUCAUGGUUAAUUUAGUAUCCUUGACUCUUCCAUUUUCAAAAAUUUUAGCCAUUUUGACUUUUAAUUGUCUUUCCUCAAUUACCUCCCCAUUUUGUUCCUAGAAAUCCUGAGUUAUUUUCUCAGUUUCACAUUUUAGUAUACUAAUGAUGUUUGCCAAGGUUGCUAUAAAACUUUUAUAUUAAAAAUUCCUUCACCAGUUAUUACAUAAUUAAUUUCAAAAAAAUAUUUUUGUAUGUGUGUGGUACCAGGGAUUUAACUCAGCAGCACUCGACCACUGAGCCCCAUUCUCAACCUUAUGUUGUAUUUUUUAUUUAGAGACAGGGUCUCACUGAGUCGCUUAGCACCUUGAUGAUGCUGAGGCUGGCUUUGAACUCAUGAUCCUCCUGCUUCAGCCUCCCAAGCUGCUGAAAUUACAGAUGUGUGCUACCACGGCCUGCUCAAAUUUUUAAUUCAUUUUUACAUUAUCCUUUUAUAUAUAUUUUAGUUGUAGUUGUACACAACACCUUUUAUUUUAGUUUAGUUUUUUUUAUGUGGUGCUGAGGACCAAACCCAGGGCCUCACACGUGCCAGGCAAGGACUGUACUGCUGAGUCACAACCCCAGCCCACAUUAUCCUUUUAUCAGUCAAUAAAUACAUGUUGUUGUUUUUUGUUUUCAGAAUUAGUUUGAAUCUGAGACGAUUAGAUAUCUACUAAGAGAUCUGAGUAAAAGCAAAGUGUGCCACUUUCACAAUGUCCUAUCAGUUUCCUCUUCAUGAUUCCCAAGCUUUCCCCACUCUCCCCUGGCUUUCUAGAAAGAUAAGAGCAACCUUUGAACCAAUGUACUAAAAAUGGAAGAACAAUCUCAAGUCCAGGUCUUUGAACAAUUUGUGUGUCAAACUAAAAUUCCCACCCGGUACUAUUAUGUGAAUAACAAAACAAAACAAAACUUCUUGCCCUUUUAAUUUAGUAAAUCUUAGCUUUCAUCUUACAUUGUAAUGUUUCUCUUUUCCACAAGAUCAUCCAUCCUUGGCAGUGUUUUCUGAGGUUAUUUCAACCUGAGGAUUCAUACCUCAGAAAUGAAUCACCCCAAAGUGUUCAGAACACUAGAUGAUGGUUUCCAUGUCCUCGAAAGAGCAUAUGUCUUUCCCAGGAUAUAUACUGAAUUGAGCCUCUUUUUAUACUUUCUACCACAUAUACAGAUUGUAUCUUCUACAAAUGGAGAAAAUCUUACCAACUAUAUCCAUGAAGCUAGCCUGUCUGUGUGACCAAAGUGGGAGCUAUACAAAAUUUCUGUCUGUAAACAAGGAUUGAAUUCUAGACCAAAUUCUUGCUCCUGAUCCCAGCUUCUUUGGGGGCAGAAAAUUUAUUUCCUUGUGAAACUUCCUAAAUAUUUCCUGUCCUUUUUUUAAUACUAUGAAAUUAUUGUUUCAUAAAUAAUUCCUACAUAUUUGUUCAAGUGAGAGCAGUGAUCCUUGUAUAUUUAACCUAAUAUUAUGAUUUCAAAUAACUUAUUAUAAACCAUGAAAUCUAUGAAGAAGUAUGUGCACAAGAAUAUUCAUUUAAGCACUUUUUAUUAAAAUGGUUAACUAGAAAUAAAGCAUUAAUAAUAUAUGUUUGACAAAAUGAUACAUUUACACAGAACACUAUAUAUUCAGUUAAAAACAAUUAUGCUUAUGACUAUUAACAAAACAGAAAAUAUGUUGAAGAACUGUAAUUUUAAUUUUUUAAAAUUUUAUUUGUUCUUUGUAGAUAUACCUUAUAGUAGAGUUUAUUUUGAUAUAUUUAUACAAACAUGGAAUAUAUCUUAUUCUAAUUAGGAUGCCAGUUUUUCAGCUUCUAAAAUUUUUGUGAUACAUAUUAUUUAAUUUCAGAAAACAAAAUAAAAUUUAACUCCUGAAGUUAAUACAAGACUCUCACAGUGGAAAUAGUUUGUGAUGACUAACCUAGAAACAUAUUAUUAAGAUAUCAUUUACUUUGUGAUCUGUUUUCUCUACUAUUUCUGGCACAAAACAAUACCUAUUCUCAUUUACAACACUCUGGGACUCAAAUCUGAGCUAUUGAGCAUGCUGCUUCAUCUGGCAUUUGUUUGACAAACAGAUGGACCUUCUUUAUGCCCUCAGGACCAGAAAAUGUGGGCCAUUCCAAGCAAAGCAGCUAGUUAUUUACUUUUCUCAAGCUUUCAUUAAUAACCCCAAAAUUCAGCAAAUCAACAAGGUAUAUUUAAGUUAGUAGAAGUAUAAAAAUUCAAUGAAUACAAAGAAAAAAAACAAGCUGAUUAAAGAAUAAGUAGAAAGAAAAUUCGCCAAUACAAACAUGCAUUACUUAAAGAACUCGAAGAGAAAGAGAUAAAUGAGAAGCAAUGGAGAGAAGCACCAAGAAUGAAUGAGUUCUGAAAUCAUUGUGAGAUGCCUCUUUGAUCAUGUGACUGUCUAGAAAAAAUAAAUAUAAUUUCUAUUGUGACCAAUAUCUUAGAAGAUAUGUUUGAAACGAAAUCUAAAGGGCUUAAACAAAUACAAAAAAUAUAUAUAUACUAGAAUAGCUUUCUUUCAAAUCACUCGUGAAGAUCUGAACAAAUAAUUUUACUCACCAAUGCAUCAGCCUAGAGCUCACCAUAUUGGAAGGAAUUAAUAAGUCAUUGCUGAGUUGAUUAAAUUCAAGAUCUCAAAAGUAAAAGCUAGUAAAAAAUUAUACAAAUAUGAAAAAACUGAUGAGGUGAAUUCAGAAAUUCUACUUAUUUUAAUAUAAAAAUUUUGUUCUCUUUUCUAGGUAUUACAGAAACUACCAUGUAAAAUUUAUUGGUUUUUAAAAGACUUAUCCUUGUCUUAAUGUUUUUCUUGUGCAGUUUAUUUAUUCUUUCCUUUUUCAGUCUGAGAAGAGUAGGAGUAGAAAUAGUUUGUUUUAAUCUUUAAAAACCUAAAAUUCAUAAAUAAUUUAAUGUACCUUGGCAUAGAACUUAACUGAUGCACCCACAAGCUGGAAUAUUUGCUGAAACUGACUUAUCCCUCAGCUUUGAAGACAACACUAGUCUCAAAGUUUUUAGAUUUAAAAGAAAAACAAGCAUCCAAGUAGGGGAUAACUAUGUUUAUGAACCAUGGUGUUCAGCCAAUAGAUAUUUUUGCAUAAAACAAGGUCUGCCAUUCAUGGAAACAUAAGCCUAAAAAAUGUCAGUCAGCCAACUUUGAUGGAGACACACAGCUGUAAUGUUGAUUCUGAUGGUAACAACAGAUUUGGCAGCUUUCAUGUUGCUUUAACUAACCUACACAAGUAUUUACUCUGCAAGGAAGCAUGCUAAGAGGCAAAGACUUGUGGCUAGGGUAUAAAGACAAAGAAAUGAACAGAAAACAGGAACAUAGAUUCUCACAGAAGGACACAACUUACUAAAGAUCUCUUCAUGAUAUCUAUCAAAUAUUAUUUCUUAAUAUUUCUAAUUCUCCUCCUCUCAAUCGGUUUUAUUCAUUUUCUUAAAAGAAUAUUUUUUGGGGGGAGGGCAGUGCUGAGAUGGAACAUAGCCUCCUGCAUGCUAAGCAGGGACUCUACAACUGAGCUAAUUGCCCUAAGGCAAUUCAUUCAAUCAUUAGAGGCAGACUUCAGAAUCCCUCAUUUAAGUCCAGGUUUCUAUAUUGCCUUUGUUAAUGUCCUCUUAAAUUAAAUAUUUUGCUCAUGGGCUACAUAUUACUCACUUUCAUACUUUUAUUUAUAAUAUGUCUCAUGGCAUAUCUAUUUAUUUUGUGUUUUAUUACCUGAGAUAUUUCCAAAAUCUUAAUAACUGCAUUUCAGCAGUUAUCUCAAAUGUUUAAUAGAACUAUUUCAUAGUUGAAAUCUGUUUCUAAGACUAAUAUUUGUAACCUACCAAAAAUAAACUCUUAAGUCUUAUGAACCUUUUUUUAAAAGCCACAUUCUAUCAUUACAAGUAGAUGUUACGAGAUUAACUAGAAUUAAUACAAGAAAAUCUACUAUGUUCAUCACCUCAGUAGUUUAUUACUUUAUUAUAUUGUGGUAGGAACACUUAGGAAGAGAUCUGAAAUUUUAAUAUUAUAUUUUAGUAUUAAAUAUAUAAUUCUAGCAUUAUUUGUAUUAAAUAUUUAAUAGUAUAAAAUACAGUAUUGUUAUUUAUAAGCACAAUGCUGGACAAAUCUUUAGAAUUUAUUCAUUUGCGUAACUGAAAUUUUACAUCCGUGGAUUAGCAGCAUCCCUUUUCACUUUUCACUAGGUCGUGACAGCUGCUAUUGUUUCAUUUGAACUUAUGAUUUGACUACUUGAAAUAUUUCAUGAGUGGACUCAUUCAGAAUUUGUCCUUCCAUAACUGGAUUGUUUCAUUUUGUAUAAUAUCCUCAAGAGUUCACUCGUAUUGUCACAUACUGUAGAAUUUCCUUUUCUAAAUCUGAAUAAUAUUCUGUUGUUUUAGUCAGUUUUUUUUUUUUUCUGUUGUGACUAAAAGACCCAACCAGAAAAAUUAGAGAAGAAAAAGUUUAUUUGGAGGCUCAUGGUUUCAGAGGUCCAAGUCCAUGGACAGCAGGCUUCAGUUCUCUGGGCUUAAGGUGAGGCAGAUCAUCACAGUGGAGGAUUGUGGCAGAUGGAAGCAGCUCACAUGAUAAUCAUAAAGGAGAGAGAGAGAGAGAGAGAGAGAGAGAGAGAGAGAGAGAGACUGCACACACCAGAUACAAAAUAUAUACCAGAAAUAUAUACCCAAAGACCAACCUCCUCCAGCCGCACCCUACCCACGUUUAGUUUCCACUCAGUUAAUCUCCUUACUGAGUUAAUUCACUAGAUCAAGGACCUCAUAACCUAAUUACUUCUCCUAUAUAACUUCUUGCAUUGUCUCACACAUGAGCUUUUGGGGGACACCUUACAUCCAACUUAUAACAUCUGUCAUGUGUUAGAUUUUUAUCUAUACAUGUGUUGAUGGACAUUUAAAUUGUUUCCACAUCUUGAUAUUGUGAACAGUGCUACAAUCACCAUGAGACUGCUAAUAUCUCUUCAUUAUCUUGAUUUCCACUCUUGCAGACAAAUACUCAGAAGUAGGAUUGCUGGGUGAUAUAAAAUUUCAAUUUUGGGCUUACUUGAGAAAUCUGUUUUCCAUAGGAGCUAUAUUAUUUUACAUUCUUACUGUGUACAAGAGUUGCAAUUUUCCACAUCUCUAACAUUUGUUAUAUUUUAUUAAUUGAUAACAUCAGAGAAUCUAACAAGUCAAUUAAAAUUUUGACAAAGACUUGAAUAGACAAUUCUCUAAAGAAGAUAUAUAAAUGGCCAACAGAUAUAUGAAAACACUCUUAAAGUCACUAAAUAUCACAGAAAUGAAAAUCAAACCCACAGUUGUAUAUUACCUCACACCUGUUAUGAUGACUAUUCUCACAAUCUCAAUUUCAAAUAUAUCACAAACUCUAAGCAUUUUACAAGAGAAAACUUACUUUGGUAAUAUUCUCAUACGUGUGCUUAAUUUUCUCAAGAUGACCAAUUUGUUGCUAUUUCCCAUUUCUCAAUUUCCAUCAUGAUUCUGUUUUUUUAAAUUCUCUUUCUGUCAUUGAAAUUAUCAUUUGCAAAUAAUCCUCAAAGUUCUGUCUUUUGUUCUUUCUUUUAUACUCACUUGGCAAAACGUUUACUUAGUUUUAUCUAAUCACACCAUACAUAAUAUUGCCUACGCAAGAGUCAUUCCCAAUUCCCUUUAAAACAGAGCUUGUUUCUUUUUUCCUUAUUGCUAUAAAGUACAAUUCAUUAAGCCAAGUGAUUUACUUGGAGGAUAAUUUAACCCCAGACAUAGGUCCUAAUUAGAUUAAGCCUGUCACGUUUUUCUAAUCUCCUUGAUGAAAAGACGGUGAGGCAUGGAAAGAUGUUCUUCAUAUUACAAAGAUACAGUGGCAUCGUGAUCCCUCUUCUUGGCUUCAUGUUUGCAUGUGGCUCAUAUAACUGUGGCAGCCAUUUUACAACCAUGUGGUUUGUCAUAGAAAAGAUCAAUACCAAAGUUAAACUUCAUGAACUUCAGUUAAGUUGAACCACUGAUGAACCAACCCUAGCAUAAGGCACUACUGGAAAUUUGUUUGCUUGUUCUGUUUGAGAAAAAAACACAUUUCCCUUGAUGAUUAGUCUGUUUGGGAUUUUUCUCUUCCUGUGGCUACAAAUAUUCUGAAAAAGUCAAGAUAUUAACCAGUAAUCUCAUAGCUGCUUCCUUUCACAUUAUAGUCAAUACAUUUGGAUAGGUACUAGAUUCUACUCAGCAAUACCACAGUCUUGUGGUAAAUUUGGUUUCCGACUGACUGGAAUUGCUAUUUCAUCCAUGUCUUGUUUUUAAUGCUCACCUAUCACGUUUUAGCUCCACUCUACUGUUGACCUAAUCAGAACUUCAAAAGAAUUCCUUACUUUCCUAUUGCUCAUUUUUCAGUCCCAUUCCGGUCUACACCCUAUUUUUUUUUUUUUUUUGGUCUUCCUUCUAAAGAAUAUGUCAUGCUACUAUCCCAAACUCUCCACAUAGAUUCGAGUCAACGAGAAUCCUUGCUUUCUAGAGAAUUUGGUUUCCUUCCUGAGUCUCAUUUCUCCACUUAAAAGUUUUUAAAAAAACAUCUAUUCUGUGUAUAUCCUACUUCAUUUUAAACUCAGAUUUCAACUUACAUUUAUCUGGCUUAAGUCCACAUCAGUACUAAUCUAUUAAGGCCUGCAAUAACCUUCGUAGUUCUGAAAUCAGUGUCUACUUUUUAUGUCAUAUUUUUAAAAACUUCAGCAGCAUCUGAUAGAGCUGAUCACACUCGUAAAACAUCUUUUUCACAGCCACGGUGUAAGUAUUCACAGUUUUCUUCUAUUUCAGUGGUAGUCCUUUUUAGUUUAAUUUAAUUUUUUAAAAAUAUUUUGUUACUCUGUCCUCAAUAGACAAAUAAGAUAGAAGCUUCUGAAAGUUCUGCUUGAGAACUUUAAGAAGCUUCUUGAGUCCUGUGAUACUUUCUUAUCUCUAUGCCUGAAAAUUUCAUGCAAUCUUCUGUAUUUCAACACAGAAAAUUAUUUACAUUUAUUACUAGAAAGAAAUUUUAAGAGCCUGAAGUGUCUUUUCAAAAUAAAUAUAGAGAAUAUUUCAAAUUAAAAAGGGGCAGAAUAGCUUCAAUGUGGGAAAAAUAUGUAAUAUCCAUAGCUACCACUUAGUGAGCUUUUACUUCAUACAGACACUAGGUAAUUAUCAUCACAUUAAGCUUAUGAUACAGGUAUUAUUAACCAAGGUUUUCGACAUAGAGAUAAUGGUGUUUAUAAAAAUUAAUUAAUUAGCUAGUACUAUGUGGUAAUCCAUAAAGUCUCUGAUGAGCCUAUUAUGUUCUGUCUCCACUACACUAUGUUGUUUUUAAAAAGGAGGGAAAGUACAAAGAAAUCAGGUGCCAAAGAUUGCACACAUGCCCUUAUUUAGCACUCAUUCUUGCAUCUAUUGUAGUUUAUUUUUUAAAUAGAGACUGUACAUUUAUAUAUGUACGUAGGAAAUGAGGUGAGAUUCAUUCCACUGUUCUUCCUUUAUUCUGCCCUCCUUCUUCCUCCUCAAUCCCUUUCCUCUACUUCAUUGAUAUUUCUUCUAUUCUUAAUAUACAACUGUGGGUUUGAUUUUCUCUGAUAUGUGGACUAGCUUCCACAUAUCAGAGAAAACAUUUGAUGUUUCACUCUCUGAGUCUGGGUUAUUUCACUUACCAUGAAAGUCUCCAGUGUCAUCUAUUUACCAGCAAAUGUCUUCAUGUCAUUCUUCUUUAUGGGCAAGUAAUACUCCAUUUUAUAUACAUACCAUUUUUUCUUUAUCCAUUCAUUUGUUUAAGGACACUUAGCUUCUUUUUGUAGCUUGGCUAUUGUGAAUUGUGUUGAUAUUAACAUUAUGUGAUUGCAUCUCUAUAGUCAGCUGACUUUAUAUCUUUUGGAUAGCUGGGUCAUAUGGUAGUAUCCAUAUGGUUGUAUCCACAUGGGAUAGCUGGGUCAUAUGGUGGUUUCAUUCCUCGUUUUUGAGGAAUCCCCUUACUGCUCUCCAGAGUGUUUACAUAACUUUGCAGUCCCACCAACAAUGUAUGAGUGUAUGUUUUUCCCCACAUCCUUGCCAACAUUUAUUUUUACUUGCAUUCUUGAUAAUUCCCAUUCUAGAUAGAGUGAGAUAAAAUCUUGAGUUUUUGUGUUGUGUUGUUUGGUUUGGUUUGGUUCAUUUCAGGUAUUGAACUCUGGGGGGUUCUAACCACUGAGCCAUAUCCCCAACACACACACACACACACACACACACACACACACACACGUUUAUUUUAAUAUUUUUUUUUUAUUUAGAGAAAGGGUCUUGCUAAGUUGCUUACAGCCUUGUUGAGUUACUGAAGUUGGCUUUCAACUUGUGAUCCUUCCUGCCAUAGCCUCCCCAGCCAUUGGGAUAAUAGUCCAAUGUAUUUUUGAUUUGAUUUCCCUGAUUCUAGAGAUAGUGAACAUUUUAAAUAAAUCUGUUUAGUAUUUGUAUUUUUUGAGAAGUAUUUAUUUAGUUCUUUUGUACAUUUAUUAAUGUUUUUGGUGUUGAGUUUAUUACAUAUUUCAAAUAUUAAUGACCUACAUGAGGAACAGAGAGCAAAUAUAGCAGGUAGCAAAGAUCUCCCAUUAUGUAGGCUCUCUCCUCACACUUGCUUCUUCUUCUGUACAGAAGUUUUUAAUUUGAUGCCAUUCUGCCUAUUGAUUUUUGGUUUUAUUUCUUCCAUCAUAGGAGUCUUGUUAAGGAAGUUAAUUCCUGUGCCAAUAUGUUGGAGUGUUGUGGCUAUAUUUUAUUUUUGCAGUUGCUGAGUUUCUAGUCUAAUUCUCAGAGUUGUCUUUUGUUCAAGGUAAAAGAUAUAGAUGUAGUUUCAUUUUUUCUAUAUAUGGAUAUCCAGUUUUUUCAACACCACUUGUUAAAGUGGCUAUCCUUUCUGGAACACAUGUUUUUUACCUUAUCUAUGUGGACUAGUCUCUGGUCUUCUUUCCUUUCCACGAGUUCCUAUGUCUGUUUUAGUCCCAAUGCCAUGCUGUUUUUGUUUUUUAAUAGCUCUUGAAUUAAACUCGAGAACAGGUAUCAUGAUACCUUUAGCAUUGCUCAGGAUUGCUUUGGCUCCUUUGGGUUGAUCAUCCUUCUAAAUAAAUUUUAGAACUUUAAAAAAUAUACAUAUAUUAUUUUUAAAAAAGCCUCAAAGUAUGUUGGGCAUCUCUUUUUACAGUCUAUUUUGUUCCUUUUGAUAGCUGAAAGAAUUUUAUUGCAUAACUUUUCUUUGGUGGUGAUUGUAAUGUUCUUAUCUUCCUUGUGCUAGUGGUGACAUCAAUGUGUGUGAAUGCCCAAACUCAAGGCUGUACAUUUUUAAUAGGUGCAUUUUACCAUUAGGUAUGUAAAUUGUGGCUCAAUAAAGUUGAUUUAAGAAAAAAAUAUAAAGACUGUAAGCUAAAAUCUGGCCCCCAGAAAACUUUUCAGUACAAAGCAGAAAUGAGGCAGCCUCUGGGCCAGGAGUUCUGAUCAUGUAGCAUACCUAAUCACAUGGGAUUAUUUUCUGAGGCAAUUGGUAACAGCUUCUGGUUUCAAGUUUCUGAAGUUAUAAGCAUUAAGUGACAAGUGUGACAACAUUUCUUUUUUUCCAUUUGAACCACUUUUUCCCCCUCUGACCAUUCUGAGGAUUUUAUGAGCUGAAAUUAGUUAAAGUGUAUUGUUGUUGGACCUAAGCUCUUUGAUUGAUUCCACAGUUGCUACAAGAAAUAGAUUCUUUCAAAUAGCAAAAACUGAAGUGUGGAACUAGAUAAAUGAAGAAAGUGAAAAUUCAGGUUUCAAAUACUAAACACCAAAUUUUUAAGCAAACUUUAUAGUAAGUAGAAUACAUUUGGAUUAAAUUUUCACCUGAAAUACCUUUUAAAGAAAGUUAUAAGCUGAUUGAAGCUGUAGUGCUGGAAAGAGUAGGAACUGAUGAGAAUGUUGGGUGGUGCUGGCUCUUAUUUACACCUUUAGAUAAAGUUUUAUAAGAACAAGAUGAUCCCUAGAGAGAAGUAAAUAGCCUUAUAACACAGAUGGGGGAAAUGCCAUUUUGGCAAGAGAAGUAUUUUCUGUCCACAAUCUGACAUCUAUAUUGCCAGAGAAUCCUAUAAUUUUGGAGCAUUAAAAAAUUAAAAAUUAAAAGCACUUUUUGUACUCUAAAUAGAAAUCAUUGCAAGGAUACCAAAGCAGAAACCUCAGCAAGAGAUAAACUGGUAUGCAGCCAGGAAAAUGUAGACACUCUCAGGGAAGAAAUGACAGUAAGGGUUUGGCUUCCUCCCAAGAAUAUUAUUUUCAAAUUCCCUAAGCCACUGACCAUUAAGCUAAGGGAUGGGAAGUGAGCAGAGUGUAACAAAGAGAAUAUUCCAGUCAAUAAAGAGAAUAUUCCAGGUUAAAACUUUGACUAGAUAAAAUCUUUAGUUACAGUUACACUUGCAGGACCCUGGGUGCAUAAAUGUAAUCUUCCAGUGUUCUAACAGAAGUGUGUGUUGAUCAAUUACCCAUUGUGGACUGCAAACUGGUGUGAUGUCACCGCUACACUAAAAAUGCUACAAAACAACCCCCAAGCUCCUGCCACACACAAUCACAGCCAGUAUUUUUUCAAAAGAAAGAAUGGAUUAUCAGGUUCUGAGAAACUGAGAAAGGCAGCAAAAGAUUGUCUGACUGUAAGCUUAGUGCCCCUAGUCUUUGUCAUUCCUGGUUGGUAGGAUGUGAGAAUUAUUCAGAUACUUUUUAUUUUCUACAUUCUAACUAUUUUAUUUUCUCCGUCCUAUCAUUUCCUGUAUGUGUUUUUUUAAUAUUUAUUUUUUAGCUAUAGUUGGACACAAUACUUUUAUUUCACUUACUUAUUUUUAUGUGGUGCUGAGGAUCGAACCCAGAGUCUUGCACAUGUGAGGCGCACGCUCUACCACUGAGCCACAACCCCAGCCCCCUUAUAUGGAGGUUUUUAUAAUAGCUAAUCUAUUUCUUCUCUAACAUUGUAUAUAUUUUGGGUAUAUGUAAUUUAUUAUUUUGGUAGGAAAGAUGCACACAACCAGAAUCUACAAAUGGUUUUAUUGGAGAGAUUACACAUUACUAAGAUUACACACUUUAAAUUUUAAUUGGUUAUUGUAAUUAUUAAUUUGAAUUGUGAACUUGAUUGGCUUAAGAGAUGCCUAUGAUUAAGAGGCUUCUGGGUGUGUCAAUGAGGGUGUGUCUAGAAAUGAUUGGCACAUGGGAUAGCAAACUGAUGUGGUGGGCAGCAGUGUUGAAUAGGAUGGUGUCCUCGAUUGAAUGAAAGUUGGAAGAACAAGGAAGCAGCCACAGAUGCAAGUUCAAUUCUUUUAGAACAGGGUUUGAUUGCUGCUGAGACUACCUGAGGAUAUUAGACUCUCACUUCUUCACUCUUCCAAAGUCGACUCUGCCAGUGAUUCUCCACGGAGUUUCCAGAAGCAUUCGGUCUUGGACUAAGGUAGCACCUUACAUCCCUCUUGUUCUGAGGCUUCAACUUCUUGGACUGUGCAGCUACUCAUUCUUCCAGCUCUCCAGGCUACAGACAGCCAUUGUGGACUAUCCAGCUUCUGGUUAUAUAAUCCAAUCUAAUAAAUACCCUCUUUAGAAUCAUGCUUUCUGUUGAUUCUGUUCCUCUAGAGAAUCCUAACACAGGUACCAUCACUAGAAGUGAAUUUGGGAUAUCUCUAUUGGAACAAAGCUAAGUAUAUUACUUCAGUUGAAAAAAGGUAUAUAAAGAAUAUUAAGCAAUAAUAAUACAGUGUACAGACUACAAAUAACAUAUAACAAAUUAAAAUUGCCAGAUUGCUACCGAAUAUCUGUUCCCUUCUUUCUUAUUAAAAUACUUCCUUUUCUCUGAGUUGGCAAAUGAACUCAAUAGAAUCACAUUUUCCAGCUCUCCUUUCACAAAUAUAAGAAAAGUUAAAGUCCACUAAGGACUGCUGAACAAUUUGACUUUUCUAAUGUGGUAGAUAAUCUCCAAAUAUGACAGUAUAAAUUAAUUCCCUUUAUCUAUAUACAAGUUAUUUCAUAUGUUAAGACAUGGGGUUUGGUGGUAGAAAAGAUGGUGAUAAUGAGUUACUCAGCAAGUCCGUAUCUCCUCACAACACAGAAUGGAGGCAGUAAGGAAAAGCAGAACUGAGAAGUUGGUGACAAAAUAAUGCUCUGAGACUCAAUAUUAAAAAGUCUGAGACCUAGACAGACUUGAAGAUCAGUUACUUGCCAGAAUAUAAAAUAAGUACAGAGUUUCCUAACCCUGAAAGUGGACCAGGGUGCAAAAAGGGAGAUGGGACAACAGAGAGAUGAAGGAGAAGUAGAAAAAUCUCUUAAGUUCACCCAUUGUAAAACAUUUGAAGGGCAAAUUUUAAAUUAUCAUAGGAAUAGCAGGGUUCUUGAAGCAGAUGAAGUUAAAACCAAAUCAUAAAAAGAAAGCUGAGCUGGGGGUCUGCAACCAUUCUGUGCAGCCCCCAGCCAACUAGUUACUCUUAAAUUUUCUUACCAUGCCCAUAUAGCUGCAGAUUAACUAGAGGGAAGACCACUGCAGUGGACCUUGAGAAUCUGGCUAGAAAGAACUUCUAGUAGGAUCACUACUAGCUGAAAAUUACUGAUACCCAUCCCACAUUACAACAAAUGUUGGGGGAGGGGAUGGAGUAGACAUGUACUGGGAUGUGCCCCUAACCCAGCACCCUGCUAAGUCUCUGUAACUCAGGUAAAUGUGGGAAGUUCUGUGCAGCUUUCGUGGUACCUAGACUCUGAGAGAACAGCAAAGCAACUUUUGCUCCAAGUGGAGGAAAGAGGAUCCAUCAGGACCAGACUAGCCCUAAUCACUGACUUUGGGGGAAAGCACCACUGUGGUAAGCCUAGGGAUAGGAACUGUCCCCUUGAUCACAAAGCUGUGCUGGAGGGAAGCUGCCUGAAUAUCCAGUGACAUAGGGAUCUAUUUCCCAGAUGGUGGCGGCAUGAGCAGAAAGCUGCUAGGAGAAAUUCCUUGAAUGCCUCAGGAAACUUAAGCAUAAGCCAUCCACAAACAACAAAGGAGGGUCAGUUAAGGUAGAAAAUUACAGGACAUCAGGGAGUGAGUGCUCCUGGCCUAAUCCUGCCUCCAGCCUUACUUGCUCCCAUUUUGACCCAUGGUCACAACUGUCAAAUGAAAGGGCAUUGUUUGGACAAUGGCUGGACCUUACAUCAGUCAGAGUCAACAGAGGGAAUCAGCACCCACCAUUCACAACCUGAGGCAGGGGAACUAGACCCCAGGUGAAUUUCCUGAGUUUCUUCACUACAAUACCCAAAAGAGUGUUGUCUGGUGGGAGAAUGCUACAACUGAAGAACACCCAUGGAAAAUCCACAACCAGAGAUCUUGUGCUCACAGGCUGCAACCAGGAUCUGCACUAUCAUGAAAAGGACACUGUAGAGGGGAUCAGGUACACAGUGACCCACAACAAUCACAAGGACAUUCCAGAGAUUACAUUCUUCACACAAUAGAAACAACCAAGCCAUAACACUCCACCAUCCCAGCAGUCAGCUACAGAUCCCUGAGCUGAGAUGCUAGAAUUGGCUGGUAGGAAGUCCAUAGCAAUUUGGGAAAUGGCUUAUGUGCUCUAGCAACUCUGCAGGAAUGUAUAGCCAAAGAAUGAUAGACAUCUGCAAAAUGUCUGAACCCAAGUGAAAUGCAAACCCAGAUUAACCAAGAAUUUUCUUCACCAUGGAAUGGUUUUCUAUAAAUAAUUCUAAUGUCAACUUCAAUCAUCUAAAUCACUCUAACUCGAUUGAUUGUAGCUACUCUAAUAGCCAAACGUAGUAGUUUCAACUCAUUUGAAUGUAUUUUAUCUAAUGGUUUAAAGCAGUAAGUGGAAUCAAUCUUUCUAUCUUUGUUUUACUUGCUCUGAUUAAUACUGGCUCUUCUUAUCACCUAUUCAACCUCUUGCAUUAUCUGAUACUGCUUCAAAUACCCAACAUCCAUCUAUUUCUCCUCUCUACAUUGGAAUAUAUUAUUUCUUUUCAUCUUCUCUCUCUCUAUCUCCUUUUUGCCCAAUCAUUUUUCUUUCCCACUUUUAACCCUCAUUUAUGGUUAUAGCAAUAUAAUAAAUUUAAUAAUUUAUUUUUGAUCUAUUCCAGAUCUUCACUUCAAUUUAAACCUGGAUUUGUGGAACUCUGGAGAAUAAUGUCAAGAUUUUCAUUUUUCGUAAGUUUUAACA